UUCUUCCAUUCAAUUGUCUGUUUCGUCUCAAUCACCAUAAAUUUUAUUGAUUUUUUUUGUACUUCUCAUUCAACCUUAUCUGUUUCACUUGAUUUUUCCAUUUAAUUUGAUUUUUUGAACAAGCAAUGCAGGCUCUCUAUAAAUACCCCUGUUGUGAAUUUACAAUCAGUUUGCUUCCCAUUUCCCCUUUGUUAAACUAUUUGUUGAUUUCCACUGAUUUCCCCAAUGUCUGAACCUGUGAAUUCAUUUCGAAGCUUAUGCCCAGGCCGAUCCAGAAACAGAUGAAGUUAUCUUGUAUUUGUUACUGCCAAUUUGAGCUGAAGUUAGGUUUAGGUUCUAGAUGUAGAACUAGAUUGUGAUGGCUUAGCAGAAGCUCUCCUCUUCUACGUGUUUCUUCAGUUGGUGUUGGCUAUAAAUAUUCCCACAAUUGGUCUUUCAUUUCAGAUUUUGUAUUUGUCUCCAUGUAUCUCAUUCUUUUCCUCUUCUUCCAUGCUUACAGAGAAAACACUUUAACCCACGGUGAGAGCACUCAGACAUGGGGAAAGAGGGAUGGAGGUCUGUAGGCAGAGGACAGGUGGAAGCUAGAUGACCAUGUGUGCCAAGGUUCGUGUUAUUUGAUGCCUUGCAAAUGGAAGACAUCACUGAGUCAUAUGAUGAGGGUGGUUCUUUUGAUUCUGUGCUAUUAAAGAAGCAAGGUUGGAAAGAAGGGAAUGGUCUUGGGAUAUCUGAGCAGGGUAGACUAGAACCCAUGGAAACUUGUGUGAAGAAUAACAAACGAGGUUUGGGAGCGGACAAAGGGAAGAAAAAGGCUGUGAAGUCUGAUGAUAGUAAUGUCUCUGAAGGGAACUAUCAGCAGAUAACCAAGGGUCUGUUGGAGAAGUAUGGCCCUGAGAGGGUUCUUGAUACUCCAAUCACUGAGAUAGAAACAAGCCUGUACCUGAGGCAGUAUGCACGUACAAAUUCUGAAAAGUAUCAGCUUUUCAUCAAUUUAUAUGCAAAAGUUCUUGAGGGACAUUCACCACUGAGCUCACUAGGAGUUCUCAAUAAUGACACCCUUAAGACCCCUUUGACACUGAUCUAAGAAGUUGCAGAGAAAAUUGAGGGCGAUACUAGCCCAACUCGCUCUCUGGUCGAGCCUGCAAGUAAGGCACAGUGUGCUGCCUAAGAUCACAAAUGAGUCCAGGAUCAACUGAAAUUUUGAUGUAUUUGAGUUGUCUGUUCGUGAAGGCCUGAUGGCCAAGUUCUCUGGUGUUAACCAAGCAAGGAAAAUAUGUGAGACUAUGGGCAAGACAUCCAAAGUUGUGGCAGUGAACUUCUGAAAGAGGAUAACGUUAUAGCGUCAUGGUCACUUGUGUGGGGAGGUUGGGUCGCUAUGCUUGCAGAGAAUGAAUUUGAGGGAGAAAGGGAGAGUGCGAGAGGUAGUGCACUCCACUGUGGGAAAAAGAUGGGGAGGAAAAUCUUAAUAUAGUGAGACAGUGGGAAACAACUUCAUAGCAGGCUAUUUUAGAUUUUGAUGUAUUCUCUUUUUCCUUUUAUUCAUUAACAAAUUUUCACUUGGUUUAAAUAUAUUUUAGAAGGCUUUUUUAA